CCCAGACUCCUACGGGAGGCAGCAGUAGGGAAUAUUGCUCAAUGGGGGAAACCCUGAAGCAGCAACGCCGCGUGGAGGAUGAAGGUUUUAGGAUUGUAAACUCCUUUUGUUAGAGAAGAUUAUGACGGUAUCUAACGAAUAAGCACCGGCUAACUCCGUGCCAGCAGCCGCGGUAAUACGGAGGGUGCAAGCGUUACUCGGAAUCACUGGGCGUAAAGAGUGCGUAGGCGGCGCUUCAGGUCAGCGGUGAAAUACCGGGGCUCAACCCCGGGGCUGCCGUUGAAACCGGAGCGCUAGAAUUCCGAUGCCGUCGGAGGAAUGUGUGGUGUAGCGGUGAAAUGCAUAGAUAUCACACAGAACACCGAUUGCGAAGGCAUCUGACGAAGCGGAGAUUGACGCUGAUGCACGAAAGCGUGGGUAUCGAACAGGAUUAGAUACCCCUGUAU
rnacentral:rRNA from 1 species